rnacentral:tRNA from 1 species
GGAGAGGUGCCGGAGUGGUUGAACGGGCUCGCCUGGAAAGCGUGUAGGGGCUGAAAGGUCUCUCGCGGGUUCGAAUCCCGCCCUCUCCGCCA